rnacentral:lncRNA from 15 species
GAAAAGGCUUCAGGCUAUGAAGUAGACUUUAUUGUGGGAGCUGUCUUCUUUUAAUUUCAGGUUAUUAUUUCACUCAUUCCUGGCUAAUUUGGGUUUUUGUGUCCUGGCAUUACAGUCUUCAAAAAACACACAAUGAGUAAAUAACACUUAAAGCAAAUGAGUGUGUCUGCUUAUAAUUUUGACAGAUUUCUUCAUCUCAGACACAUAAUAUGUCUCAGAGCUUUAGUGGAUAGCUGUAGCAGUAAUAAUAAUAAUAGUAAUAAUGUGUUUGUGUCUUUUUUUCUUUGUCCUAGUUGGCGAGACGUUGUUAACUCAAGCAGUCCCCUGAGAGAUGCCCCAGCUCAUCUGGAGACUUAAACCUGCUACCCUCCAGUCAAAAGCAGCUUUUCAACCCUCCAGACUUCCAUCCUCACAGACGGAUGACUUUGUCAUGUUGAAUACUUGUGAAGCUCUGUGACCUGAGUUGCUGGCUGCCUGCUCUCUUCUCUGCAGUCAUCUGGAUGGCUUUAUCACAGCUGCUCUUAUCUCCCGGCAGCUCCAAACCGCACUCACUGGCUGCCCACAUAACUGUCUCUGUGUAAACAUACAUACGCUGUGGAGGUAAAUUCAUCAGGGAUUAGUGAUUUUGGAAACUCCCUGGCCUUGUUUUUCAGUCAGGUGUGCACUAUAAAUGCUAAACAGGUGAAUCUCUUCAGACAUACCUCCACCUAGGUAUGUCGUUCUUAAGGAAAGGCGAUUAUAUUUUUAUUCUUUGCUAAUUUAGGUGUUACUGUAUGUAACAUCCUGAGAAAUCAAACACAACUAAAUACAGGCAGUUAUUCAUGUAUAUAUGAUAUGAUUUUAAGUUUAUACAGAAAGUAUUCUUAAAUACCGAUACAUAUUCAGUUAUUCAUGUGUAGUUUGGUACAUGACAAUUAAAAAAACAAUUCCCCAGUGUAAUCAAAACUCAUUUAGUGAGGCUAGCCUGGCCAUACCUUAUUUCUUUCUCAGUAAUUUCUGGAUUUCUAUCUGUAGGUCUUUCCAUUUGAAUAUUUCGUACUUUUCAAAUGGACAAUGCAUAAUUUGAAACUUAAUUGUGACAUUUUUGGACCCUUUAAACUGCAUAUAUAUGCUUUCUGAUGCAUCUGAAAGGUAUAGAGUCAUACAAGUGAAGUUUAGAAUCUGUGCACACAUACUGUAUACCUCUUUUUCUCUUUCCCAGAUGCAUCCUGAGUCAGACACAUCUUUGGCAGUCACUCAUUCACUCACUCAAAGACAAAUCAACACUCAUGCUAAGCUGGCUUCAGUUUAGAGACUACUGGACAAAUCUGCAGGACAAAGGAGGUUUUGAAUUAUACACAUUUUUACUGCAGAGACAGGCAGCUGUUGGUGGGUACAGGCCACGAUACAGAGACAUGAAAAGACUGUAGGCAUCCAGCCAAAGUGAUGGAUUUUAUAGAGGGUGGAAACAAUAAAAGGCUUACAGUUCUGGGAGAGUCUUUGGUGUAAAUCAUAAAAGGCCGGGCACAUCUGACAUGGAUAAUAGUGUAAUGAUGUUCAACCCAGCCCUCCAGCAUAAGAGCGGUUGAGCUUAUUACAAGUUUAUUCUAGUUAUUUAUUGAUCAAAUUUAAACGAGUAAAACUGAUGUACGCAUUUUAGUUCAGUUCAGUUCAAGUUUGGUUCAGUAAGUAUAAAAAAAAAUGGCAGCACAGUUAGACAGAAAUGAAUCUGGAAAAGGUUUACAUUGGUUAUCCUGGAAGAACGUACGCACACACACACAACAGAUUUGUGGUGACCAUUUGCAUUGAUAUUAAUCAAAAGGAGUCUUUCCAAGGACUAACACACAUUGAUUUGUAGUAACAAACUGUUUUAAUUAUAAUCAGAAUAAUGGGUGUUUCCCUGAUAAAUAACAUCUGUCUCUGUGACUCAGUCAGAGGAGGAGUUUGGUGUGUGUGUGUGUGUGUGUGUGUGUGUGUGUGUGUGUGUGUGUGUGUGUGUGUGUGUGUGUGUGUGAGUGUGUGUGAGUGUGUGUGUGUGUGUGUGUGUGUGUGUGUGUGUCUCUAUGCCUGAUUGCACAUGUUCUGUAUGUGGUUUGUGUUUAACAGCAAUAUUUGAUAUGAUUUGUUGGCCUCAGUUUGUAGUUGUGUUAAGAUCUAAGAAAGAGUUCUGGUCUUGUUGCAAUGGCUGUAUAUCUUUAGCUUUAUGGCCGUCAGUCUGCAUGCCACGGUUUGGUGGUUGAGUUUGUGUUUGACUUUGGUUCUGGGCCACAUGAUGUGUCUUGUAAUC